AUGAGGGCGACAGAGUGUGGGGAGGAAGCGUGGAGCGAAACUGCGAGCCGAUGGACAAGAACCCGAUAUGAGGCGUUGCCGAUCAGGGCGAGCGGGCAAGUGACUGCAAAGCGCUUGUGAUCAAGGAGCGGUGACGUAAAUCCGGCGGUUAUGCAGCGAAGGAGUGCGUUC
rnacentral:ncRNA from 1 species